rnacentral:rRNA from 1 species
CCAGCAGCUGCGGUAAUUCCAGCUCCAAUAGCGUAUACUAAAGUUGUUGCAGUUAAAAAGCUCGUAGUUGGAUUUCUGGCGGGGGCGGCUGGCGGCGUCCGACAAGGGCGUCUGCAUGGGUCAGUCCCCGUCAUCCUUGGGGAGAGCGGUUCUGCCAUUAAGUUGUCGGGGCCGGGAUCCCUAUCGUUUACUGUGAAAAAAUUAGAGUGUUCAAAGCAGGCUUAGGCCCUGAAUACAUUAGCAUGGAAUAAUAAGAUACGACCUUGGUGGUCUAUUUUGUUGGUUUGCACGCCAAGGUAAUGAUUAAUAGGGAUAGUUGGGGGUAUUCGUAUUCAAUUGUCAGAGGUGAAAUUCUUGGAUUUCUGCAAGACGAACUACUGCGAAAGCAUUUAGCAAGGAUGUUUUCAUUAAUCAAGAACGAAAGU